UGAAUUGCAAUGGAAUAAAUGAGCAGCAGUGUCACUCCCCCUCAAAUCCGACGAUGUAUGAGAGUCAAUAUUUGGAGAAAGUAACACCCAAAUAAACAGAGAGACAAAAGCCAACUAGGAGAAGGCUCGGCGAGCGGUGACGAGGCUUGCGGAGGUUUGAGAUGGAUCGGUGGCCGGUCAUAAUGCUUACGGAGGAAAGAGAUCAGGCCAUCAAUAGCCAAGGGGCGUGUUGCCCAUAUGGUAUACAUUUAAAAGAGAGGCUCGGCUGUGAGCACAAGAGACUGACACUAACAUGGGCUCAAUAUGAUUUUAACAGAAAGCAAGCUCAUAGAGAGAUUAAAAGUAAGAGAAAAGAAGGCAGCAGCAGG
rnacentral:lncRNA from 1 species